GGAUGCGAUCAUACCAGCACUAAUGCACCGGAUCCCAUCAGAACUCCGAAGUUAAGCGUGCUUGGGCGAGAGUAGUACUAGGAUGGGUGACCCCUCCUCGUGUUGCAUCCC
rnacentral:rRNA from 1 species